rnacentral:tRNA from 1 species
GCGCCCGUAGCUCGAGCUGAUAGAGCGUUGGCCUCCGGAGCCAAGGUCGAAGGUCGAAUCCUUUCGGGCGCGCCA